rnacentral:misc_RNA from 1 species
CCGCAUUUGUAACAGCAAUAGAUUCUGCAGUAUCAGGUAAAUCAGCUUUUCCUGAGAGAUCAUCUUCCAACUUUUCUGUUGCAGCAUUCAUAUUAAGUUCUACAUCAUGAGCAACACAUGUUUGUGCAGUUUCCGCAAUAGAAGCAGUUGCCAGAGUUCCAUUUCUAUCCCCUACAUCUACUUGAUCAUUGGCCACAGUAUCCAAUCCAUCAGUAGCUAUCUCCACUGCAGGCUCAAUCUGUUCUACUCCUUUAUCAGNNNNAGUUUCUGGCUCCACUUCUUUCUCUAAUUUCUCAUAAUCAUUUGUGGUGCCUGCAACUUCAGUAUUUUCAACACUGAUUUUCACGAUAUCCCGGCUACCCUUUAUGACUGGAUCAUCAAAAACAGCCCUGAUUUCUGAAUGUUCCUCCCCUCCCAAACCAUAAACAUCAAUUUUCCUUCCACUACUCUCUACUUCUGAGAUUUCAGUCUUAAAACCAGUUAUAGCUUCAACAUUUUUCUCAGAUCCAGUAUUCGCAUUAACUGGUUCUUC